AGGGCUUGGAUCCUGUGCGUCUUCAAAUCAAUGGGAGAAUAUCCACUGACUUCAAUGGAUCAUGGAUCAGGCCCCAAAUGAAGCUCUCCGGAACAUCUGCUAUGUCUUUAUACUGAGCAAUUGAACCAGAGGAGGAGGAGAGGUCUAAAAGAUGGGCAAGCCAUAACUCCAUUUCUCUCUGCUGCUGGCUAGAAACAGAAUCAAGAAGUUUAAAAACUGAGAAAAGUAUAAGUGAAUAAUGUGAGUUACCCCUAGGAUGCACAGCAAGUCAUCCUGAUUAUACUGGUUGGAGUGAGGUGAGAGGAGCUACAAGGUGGGUGGUUACAGCCCCCUGAUCCUGGGGUGGACAUUAAGGCCUUAUCUACGCUGGCAAGUGUGUGCGCAGUAAAGUAGCUUUCUGCGUUGUAACUCCCAAGGUGUACACACUGCCAAGCCACUUAGUGCACAGAAACUGUGCAGUUGUAGCUCUGUAAAAAAUCCACCCUGAAGAGAGGUGUACAGCUUUC